UAUGGAGCAAGCGUUAUCCGGAUUUACUGGGUGUAAAGGGAGCGCAGACGGUCAUGCAAGUCUGAUGUGAAAGCCCGGGGCUCAACCCCGGGACUGCAUUGGAAACUGUAAGACUGGAGUGCAGGAGGGGCAGGCGGAAUUCCUAGUGUAGCGGUGAAAUGCGUAGAUAUUAGGAGGAACACCGGUGGCGAAGGCGGCCUGCUGGACUGUAACUGACGUUGAGGCUCGAAAGCGUGGGGAGCAAA
rnacentral:rRNA from 1 species